AACGUAGGUGGCGAGCGUUAUCCGGAUUUACUGGGCGUAAAGGGUGUGCAGGCGGGCCAUUAAGUGGUGUAUGAAAUAUCCCGGCUCAACCGGGAGAGGUUAUGCCAGACUGGUGGUCUAGAGAGCGAGAGAGGGACGUGGAAUUCCGGGUGUAGUGGUGAAAUGCGUAGAGAUCCGGAGGAACCCCAGAGGCGAAGGCGACUACCUGGCCUGUUCUUGACGCUGAGGCGCGAAAGCUAGGGGAGCAAACGGG
rnacentral:rRNA from 1 species